rnacentral:rRNA from 1 species
CAGGCUUAACACAUGCAAGUCGAGGGGCAGCAUGGUCUUAGCUUGCUAAGGCCGAUGGCGACCGGCGCACGGGUGAGUAACACGUAUCCAACCUGCCGUCUACUCUUGGACAGCCUUCUGAAAGGAAGAUUAAUACAAGAUGGCAUCAUGAGUCCACAUGUUCACAUGAUUAAAGGUAUUCCGGUAGACGAUGGGGAUGCGUUCCAUUAGAUAGUAGGCGGGGUAACGGCCCACCUAGUCUUCGAUGGAUAGGGGUUCUGAGAGGAAGGUCCCCCACAUUGGAACUGAGACACGGUCCAAACUCCUACGGGAGGCGGCAGUGAGGAAUAUUGGUCAAUGGGCGAGAGCCUGAACCAGCCAAGUAGCGUGAAGGAUGACUGCCCUAUGGGUUGUAAACUUCUUUUAUAAAGGAAUAAAGUCGGGUAUGCAUACCCGUUUGCAUGUACUUUAUGAAUAAGGAUCGGCUAACUCCGUGCCAGCAGCCGCGGUAAUACGGAGGAUCCGAGCGUUAUCCGGAUUUAUUGGGUUUAAAGGGAGCGUAGAUGGAUGUUUAAGUCAGUUGUGAAAGUUUGCGGCUCAACCGUAAAAUUGCAGUUGAUACUGGAUAUCUUGAGUGCAGUUGAGGCAGGCGGAAUUCGUGGUGUAGCGGUGAAAUGCUUAGAUAUCACGAAGAACUCCGAUUGCGAAGGCAGCCUGCUAAGCUGCAACUGACAUUGAGGCUCGAAAGUGUGGGUAUCAAACAGGAUUAGAUACCCUGGUAGUCCACACGGUAAACGAUGAAUACUCGCUGUUUGCGAUAUACGGCAAGCGGCCAAGCGAAAGCGUUAAGUAUUCCACCUGGGGAGUACGCCGGCAACGGUGAAACUCAAAGGAAUUGACGGGGGCCCGCACAAGCGGAGGAACAUGUGGUUUAAUUCGAUGAUACGCGAGGAACCUUACCCGGGCUUAAAUUGCAGAUGAAUUACGGUGAAAGCCGUAAGCCGCAAGGCAUCUGUGAAGGUGCUGCAUGGUUGUCGUCAGCUCGUGCCGUGAGGUGUCGGCUUAAGUGCCAUAACGAGCGCAACCCUUGUUGUCAGUUACUAACAGGUUCCGCUGAGGACUCUGACAAGACUGCCAUCGUAAGAUGUGAGGAAGGUGGGGAUGACGUCAAAUCAGCACGGCCCUUACGUCCGGGGCUACACACGUGUUACAAUGGGGGGUACAGAGGGCCGCUACCACGCGAGUGGAUGCCAAUCCCCAAAACCUCUCUCAGUUCGGACUGGAGUCUGCAACCCGACUCCGCGAAGCUGGAUUCGCUAGUAAUCGCGCAUCAGCCACGGCGCGGUGAAUACGUUCCCGGGCCUUGUACACACCGCCCGUCAAGCCAUGGGAGCCGGGGGUACCUGAAGUGCGUAACCGCGAGGAGCGCCCUAGGGUAAAACUGGUGACUGGGGCUAAGUCG